UACAGAGGAGCCAAGCGUUGUCCGGAUUGACUGGGCGUAAAGAGCUCGUAGGCGGUCUGUCGCGUCGGUCGUGAAAACUUGGGGCUUAACCCUGAGCUUGCGGUCGAUACGGGCAUGACUGGAGUUCGGCAGGGGAGACUGGAAUUCCUGGUGUAGCGGUGAAAUGCGCAGAUAUCAGGAGGAACACCUAUGGCGAAGGCAGCUCUCUGGGACGGUACUGACGCUGAGACGCGAAAGCGUGGGGAGCGAACAGG
rnacentral:rRNA from 1 species